rnacentral:rRNA from 1 species
UACGUAGGGUGCGAGCGUUAAUCGGAAUUACUGGGGCGUAAAGCGUGCGCAGGCGGUUUUGUAAGACAGGCGUGAAAUCCCCGGGCUCAACCUGGGAAUGGCGCUUGUGACUGCAAAGCUGGAGUGCGGCAGAGGGGGAUGGAAUUCCGCGUGUAGCAGUGAAAUGCGUAGAUAUGCGGAGGAACACCGAUGGCGAAGGCAAUCCCCUGGGCCUGCACUGACGCUCAUGCACGAAAGCGUGGGGAGCAAACAGG